UUUGCCCGAUUUCCGAGAAGUGGUGCAUGGCCGCCGUCAGCUNGUACCGUAAGGNGUUNUGUUAAGUCAGACANCGAACGAGACCCUCAUCUUUAAUUGNUACUGUUAAGUCCGNUUAAUAGGCNCAUNAGAGAAACCGCNGGCGAUAAGUCAGAGGAAGGCGAGGGCAACGGUAGGUCAGUAUGCCCUGAAUCCUCCGGGCUACACGCGCGCUACAAAGGCUAGGACAAUGAGCUUCGACACUGAGAGGUGAAGGUAAUCUCGAAACCUAGUCAUAGUUCGGAUUGAGGGUUGAAACUCACCCUCAUGAAGCUGGAAUCUGUAGUAAUCGCGGAUCAACAUCCCGCGGUGAAUAUGCCCCUGCUCCUUGCACACACCGCCCGUCAAACCAUGCGAGUUGGGUUUGAGUGAGGAUGUAGUUUUUGCUAUGUUCAAACUUAGGCUUAGUAAGCGGGGUUAAGUCGUAACAAGGUAGCC
rnacentral:rRNA from 1 species